rnacentral:lncRNA from 1 species
UUACAUUAUUUUUAUAGCAGUCACCAUCACAAUACAUCUAGUAGGUUCUAUGGAUGAACAUUACAGUAUCUGUGUCAAAGGCACUUCCCUUCCCAUGCCUAACAACUGUUUGGAGGGUAUAAUUUUCAGGAUUGGCCCAGGGGAGGCAAAGGUCAAACCCACGGUAUUCACACUGCAAUCUCAAGCCUGAUACCGCUUCCCUAGCAACUGUUUAAAGUUUUUUUUUAAGCAGAAUUAUUUAACACAUCCAGGGCUAUUAUUACUACCUCUGAUGUGGUUUCACAUGUUGGAAUGAUUGGCCCUUCAGGAUUUGCACCUCCCCUCACUCUCAGUCAUAGGGUGACAACCUGAGAGUCACCAGUGCAUCAAGCCACUCAGGCAGAACCAGGUGCAUUGUGACAUCAGCUGAAUCUCCACCAAUCACUUUCCUGUGAUUGCAAGUCUGGAAUCAAUUGCCUCGAGCUUUUAUUGUUUGUGCUAAAACAUGCAGAGUCAAACUGAAAGUGCUGUUUGGCUUAUUUUAUUAUUAUUGUGAUUUUUGUUGUUAUUGUUCUUUAGUCGUUAAGCCGCGUCCGACUCUUGUGAUACAACCCAUUAUUUAUUAAUUGUCAAGAUUUCAUAACACGCUCUUCCUUCCAAAGACUCUCUGUGAAGCUCGGGCAAAUUUAAAAUAAUAACAGCAAUAAAAAAAAAAGGAUGAAAAUUCAAUGAACAGCCGAAUCAGCACGAAAGCAGAAUGAAAGGCCAAAAAAGUGAAAUGAUAGUUUCAUGAGAUAUCAAUAAAUUGAGGCAUUUAAAAUAAGGCUGUGCAUUCAUACUUUGUGUAAGACAGAAUAAAAAAUGGAGAUCACAUAAAAGGCUUCUGAGGAUUGAGGAAUAAUAAAUAUGAUUCUCUAUUAAAUGACUAUAGCUCUAUAAUCCCUCCUCAUUCUUUUCCAAUUUUUCCAGACAAUCACUCACAUUAAACUGAUCCUCAAAUUUUACAACAAAGAGCAAUAACUGAAAAUGGAAUCAUAAGACAGUCCUUUGAAUCUUCCCGGGUAUGUAUACAGAAUAGAGAAGGGAAGAGGAAAUGCUAUGUCACUUUAGGCUGUUGUCCUAUUGUCUGUGAAGUGAAUGUCCCAGGAGACCUUCAUCUCUGCAAACAGAGAAGAUCUGCAGAAGGAAUUCCCCUUUUAAGUCUCCCUACUAAUGCUCUUGCUGGUGUUCCUUUGGUGGCAAUACAAAACAGUAGGUAUUCUGGGGAACCAGAGCUCUCCCAUUUACCCAUACUUCAUAGUCUUA